rnacentral:misc_RNA from 1 species
AUUCUGUGGUGGAUGGAACUUGUGAUAACUAACUUCAGCACCCAAAUCUGACAUAUACCUUGCUAAGAUCCUUUGACUUUCUAUGCCUGCAUCCUUGCGUNNNAAUUCAAGCUACCUAAUUCAUUCACCAAUCUAUUUGCCUCCGCAAUGUCAUGAUUCGAAAGCAAAGAACUUGCAGAACCAGGCAUGAGAGCAUUUUCGGAGAUGUAAGUGUUCUUGGCGAGCACU